CCUACGGGUGGCUGCAGUGAGGAAUAUUGGUCAAUGGACGAGAGUCUGAACCAGCCAAGUAGCGUGAAGGAUGACUGCCCUACGGGUUGUAAACCUCUUUUAUAUGGGAAUAAAAUGCUCCACGUGUGGGAUUUUGUAUGUACCAUAUGAAUAAGGAUCGGCUAACUCCGUGCCAGCAGCCGCGGUAAUACGGAGGAUCCGAGCGUUAUCCGGAUUUAUUGGGUUUAAAGGGAGCGCAGGCGGAUUGGUAAGUCAGGUGUGAAAGUUUGCGGCUCAACCGUAGACUUGCAGUUGAAACUGGGAGUCUUGAGUACAGUAGGGGUAGGCGGAAUGCGUGGUGUAGCGGUGAAAUGCUUAGAUAUCACGAAGAACUCCGAUUGCGAAGGCAGUUCACUGGACUGCAACUGACGCUGAGGCUCGAAAGUGUGGGUAUCAAACAGGAUUAGAUACCCCUGUAGUC
rnacentral:rRNA from 1 species